UCCUACGGGGAGGCAGCAGUGGGGAAUAUUGCACAAUGGGGGAAACCCUGAUGCAGCGACGCCGCGUGGAGGAAGAAGGUCUUCGGAUUGUAAACUCCUGUUGUUGAGGAAGAUAAUGACGGUACUCAACAAGGAAGUGACGGCUAACUACGUGCCAGCAGCCGCGGUAAAACGUAGGUCACAAGCGUUGUCCGGAAUUACUGGGUGUAAAGGGAGCGCAGGCGGGAGAACAAGUUGGAAGUGAAAUCCAUGGGCUCAACCCAUGAACUGCUUUCAAAACUGUUUUUCUUGAGUAGUGCAGAGGUAGGCGGAAUUCCCGGUGUAGCGGUGGAAUGCGUAGAUAUCGGGAGGAACACCAGUGGCGAAGGCGGCCUACUGGGCACCAACUGACGCUGAGGCUCGAAAGUGUGGGUAGCAAACAGGAUUAGAUACCCUGGUAGUCCACACCGUAAACGAUGAUUACUAGGUGUUGGAGGAUUGACCCCUUCAGUGCCGCAGUUAACACAAUAAGUAAUCCACCUGGGGAGUACGACCGCAAGGUUGAAACUCAAAGGAAUUGACGG
rnacentral:rRNA from 1 species